GGCGGUGUGGCUCAGCGGUAGAGCAUCUGCUUGUAAUGCAGGGAGGUCCUGGGUUCGAUCCCCAGCAUCUCCU